GACGAACGCUGGCGGCGUGCUUAACACAUGCAAGUCGAACGGAAAGGCCCUGCUUUUGUGGGGUGCUCGAGUGGCGAACGGGUGAGUAACACGUGAGUAACCUGCCCUUGACUUUGGGAUAACUUCAGGAAACUGGGGCUAAUACCGGAUAGGAGCUCCUGCUGCAUGGUGGGGGUUGGAAAGUUUCGGCGGUUGGGGACGGACUCGCGGCUUAUCAGCUUGUUGGUGGGGUAGUGGCUUACCAAGGCCUUGACGGGUAGCCGGCCUGAGAGGGUGACCGGCCACAUUGGGACUGAGAUACGGCCCAGACUCCUACGGGAGGCAGCAGUGGGGAAUAUUGCACAAUGGGCGGAAGCCUGAUGCAGCAACGCCGCGUGCGGGAUGACGGCCUUCGGGUUGUAAACCGCUUUCGCCUGUGACGAAGCGUGAGUGACGGUAAUGGGUAAAGAAGCACCGGCUAACUACGUG
rnacentral:rRNA from 1 species